rnacentral:rRNA from 1 species
AGCUGUCUGUACGUGGGGAUAACUAGUCGAAGAUAGCUAAUUCGCAUACGACUUGAGGGUGAAUUGGGGACGCAAGCCUCCAUGCAUAGAGCGACGAGUCGAUAGCUAGUGUGGGGUAAAGCCACCAGCGACGAUCAGUAGCUGUCUGAGAGACGAUCAGCACACUGGGACUGAGACACGGCCAGACUCGACGGGAAGCAGCAGUGGGGAAUUUUGGACAAUGGGCGAAAGCCUGAUCCCAGCAAUGUCGCGUGUGUGAAGAAGGCCUUCGGGUUGUAAAGCACUUUUGUCCGGAAAGAAAUGGCUCUGGUUAAUACCUGGGGUCGAUGACGGUACCGGAAGAAUAAGGACCGGCUAACUACGUGCCAGCAGCCGCGGUAAUACGUAGGGUCCAAGCGUUAAUCGGAAUUACUGGGCGUAAAGCGUGCGCAGGCGGUUGUGCAAGACCGAUGUGAAAUCCCCGAGCUUAACUUGGGAAUUGCAUUGGUGACUGCACGGCUAGAGUGUGUCAGAGGGGGGUAGAAUUCCACGUGUAGCAGUGAAAUGCGUAGAGAUGUGGAGGAAUACCGAUGGCGAAGGCAGCCCCCUGGGAUAACACUGACGCUCAUGCACGAAAGCGUGGGGAGCAAACAGGAUUAGAUACCCUGGUAGUCCACGCCCUAAACGAUGUCAACUAGUUGUUGGGGAUUCAUUUCCUUAGUAACGUAGCUAACGCGUGAAGUUGACCGCCUGGGGAGUACGGUCGCAAGAUUAAAACUCAAAGGAAUUGACGGGGACCCGCACAAGCGGUGGAUGAUGUGGAUUAAUUCGAUGCAACGCGAAAAACCUUACCUACCCUUGACAUGCCACUAACGAAGCAGAGAUGCAUUAGGUGCUCGAAAGAGAAAGUGGACACAGGUGCUGCAUGGCUGUCGUCAGCUCGUGUCGUGAGAUGUUGGGUUAAGUCCCGCAGCGAGCGCAACCCUUGUCUCUAGUUGCUACGAAAGGGCACUCUAGAGAGACUGCCGGUGACAAACCGGAGGAAGGUGGGGAUGACGUCAAGUCCUCAUGGCCCUUAUGGGUAGGGCUUCACACGUCAUACAAUGGUGCAUACAGAGGGUUGCCAAGCCGCGAGGUGGAGCUAAUCCCAGAAAAUGCAUCGUAGUCCGGAUCGCUAGUCUGCAACUCGACUACGUGAAGUCUGGAAUCGCUAGUAAUCGCGGAUCAGCAUGCCGACGGAAUUGGCC